rnacentral:lncRNA from 1 species
CUUUGACAAUGCGGAUUGCUGGCCCCUGCCCCAGGUCCUGGGAAGCUGAGUGGUGUACAGUCCUCCAGAAGGUUCUGCUUAGCCAGAUUCCAAGUCUCCUAAGCAUAUUGGAGUGAAUACUUCCUCUGUCUCUCAAGUUCCAGUGGACUGGAUGGCAGCUCAAGUCAGUGGCUACAUGUGAAAGAAGGCACAGCUUUAAGAAUCUCUGGGCUGAUAGGGGAUAUCCCAGAGCAGAUGUCUGAGCACUGCCAGGUGCACACCAGUAAUCUCAGUACUCUGGGAGGCUAAGGGAGGAAGAUGGAAAAUUGGAGGCCUGCCCAUGCAAUUUAGUACACU